rnacentral:rRNA from 1 species
GAGGACCGAACCGACUAAUGUUGAAAAAUUAGCGGAUGACCUGUGGCUGGGGGUGAAAGGCCAAUCAAACCGGGAGAUAGCUGGUUCUCCCCGAAAGCUAUUUAGGUAGCGCCUCGUGAAUUCAUCUCCGGGGGUAGAGCACUGUUUCGGCUAGGGGGCCAUCCCGGCUUACCAACCCGAUGCAAACUGCGAAUACCGGAGAAUGUUAUCACGGGAGACACACGGCGGGUGCUAACGUCCGUCGUGAAGAGGGAAACAACCCAGACCGCCAGCUAAGGUCCCAAAGUCAUGGUUAAGUGGGAAACGAUGUGGGAAGGCCCAGACAGCCAGGAUGUUGGCUUAGAAGCAGCCAUCAUUUAAAGAAAGCGUAAUAGCUCACUGGUCGAGUCGGCCUGCGCGGAAGAUGUAACGGGGCUAAACCAUGCACCGAAGCUGCGGCAGCGAACGUAUCACCCAAGACAACUUUACGGAGUUGACGAUUGACGGAGCGAAGCGACGUCAAAGCGUUCAUUAAAGUCGAGUUGGCUUAGGGAUACGUUCGUUGGGUAGGGGAGCGUUCUGUAAGCCUGUGAAGGUGUGUCGUGAGGCAUGCUGGAGGUAUCAGAAGUGCGAAUGCUGACAUAAGUAACGAUAAAGCGGGUGAAAAGCCCGCUCGCCGGAAGACCAAGGGUUCCUGUCCAACGUUAAUCGGGGCAGGGUGAGUCGACCCCUAAGGCGAGGCCGAAAGGCGUAGUCGAUGGGAAACGGGUUAAUAUUCCCGUACUUGGUGUUACUGCGAAGGGGGGACGGAGAAGGCUAUGUUGGCCGGGCGACGGUUGUCCCGGUUUAAGCGUGUAGGUGUGUGUUCCAGGUAAAUCCGGUUCACUUUAACACUGAGGCGUGACGACGAGGCACUACGGUGCUGAAGCAACAAAUGCCCUGCUUCCAGGAAAAGCCUCUAAGCAUCAGGUAACAUCAAAUCGUACCCCAAACCGACACAGGUGGUCAGGUAGAGAAUACCAAGGCGCUUGAGAGAACUCGGGUGAAGGAACUAGGCAAAAUGGUGCCGUAACUUCGGGAGAAGGCACGCUGACACGUAGGUGAAGUGAUUUACUCAUGGAGCUGAAGUCAGUCGAAGAUACCAGCUGGCUGCAACUGUUUAUUAAAAACACAGCACUGUGCAAACACGAAAGUGGACGUAUACGGUGUGACGCCUGCCCGGUGCCGGAAGGUUAAUUGAUGGGGUCAGCGUAAGCGAAGCUCCUGAUCGAAGCCCCGGUAAACGGCGGCCGUAACUAUAACGGUCCUAAGGUAGCGAAAUUCCUUGUCGGGUAAGUUCCGACCUGCACGAAUGGCGUAAUGAUGGCCAGGCUGUCUCCACCCGAGACUCAGUGAAAUUGAACUCGCUGUGAAGAUGCAGUGUACCCGCGGCAAGACGGAAAGACCCCGUGAACCUUUACUAUAGCUUGACACUGAACAUUGAGCCUUGAUGUGUAGGAUAGGUGGGAGGCUUUGAAGUGUGGACGCCAGUCUGCAUGGAGCCGACCUUGAAAUACCACCCUUUAAUGUUU